rnacentral:rRNA from 1 species
AGCGUGGGAAAGCUGACCGAAGAUGGUGAUAGUCCAGUAUAGGUAGAAAGCAAUUGAGUUCUUGAGUAGGGCGGAGCACGAGAAAUUCUGUCUGAAAAUGGGGAGACCACUCUCCAAGGCUAAGUACUACUGAGUGACCGAUAGUGAACAAGUACCGUGAGGGAAAGGUGAAAAGCACCCCUAUAAGGGGAGUGAAAAAGAACCUGAAACCGGAUGCCUACAAGCAGUCGGAGGAGCAUUAGGCUCUGACGGCGUACCUUUUGUAUAAUGGGUCAGCGACUUAAUUUAUGUAGCAAGCUUAAGCCGAUAGGUGUAGGCGCAGCGAAAGCGAGUGUUAAUAGCGCGUUAAGUUACAUGGAUUAGACCCGAAACCGAGUGAUCUAGCCAUGAUCAGGUUGAAGGUUGGGUAACACCAACUGGAGGACCGAACCCACUCCCGUUGAAAAGGUAGGGGAUGAAUUGUGGCUAGGGGUGAAAGGCCAAUCAAACUCGGAAAUAGCUGGUUCUCCGCGAAAACUAUUUAGGUAGUGCGGCAAGCGGACACGUUGAGGGGUAGAGCACUGAAAGAGCUAAGGGGGAGCGAUCCUUACUAAACUUUAUCAAACUCCGAAUACUCAACAGUGAUACUUGCCAGACAGACUGUAGGUGCUAAGGUCUACGGUCGAGAGGGAAAGAGCCCAGACCGCCAAUUAAGGUCCCAAAAUUAUGGCUAAGUGGUAAAGGAAGUGAAUUGUCCAAAACAGUCAGGAGGUUGGCUUAGAAGCAGCCAUCCUUUAAAGAAAGCGUAAUAGCUCACUGAUCUAAACAAGACGAUUUGCGCCGAAGAUGUAACGGGGCUAAAGCCAUAUACCGAAGUUGCGGAAUUGCACGUAAGUGCAAUUGGUAGCGGAGCGUUCUGUAAGCCUGCGAAGGUGUUCCGUAAGGAAUGCUGGAGGUAUCAGAAGUGAGAAUGCUGACAUGAGUAGCGAAAAGAAGUGUGAGAGACACUUCCGCUGAAAGUCCAAGGUUUCCUGCGUAAAGCUAAUCUGCGCAGGGUUAGUCGGCCCCUAAGGCGAGGCAGAGAUGCGUAGUCGAUGGGAAUCAGGUUAAUAUUCCUGAACCAACUAGGAAGUGACGGAUUCAGUAAAUUGUAUGUCCUUAUUGGAUUGGAUGUGCAGUGAAUGAGUCCCGGGAAAUAGCCCUAGUAUAGACCGUACCCGAAACCGACACAGGUGGACAGGUAGAGAAUACCAAAGCGCUUGAGAGAACUAUGUUGAAGGAACUAGGCAAAAUACUUGCGUAACUUCGGGAUAAGCAAGCCCCAUUUCUGGGCAACCAGAGGUGGGGGGCACAUACUAGGGGGUAGCGACUGUUUACUAAAAACACAGGGCUCUGCUAAAUUGAAAGAUGAAGUAUAGGGUCUGACGCCUGCCCGGUGCUGGAAGGUUAAGGAGAGAUGUGCAAGCAUUGAACUGAAGCCCCAGUAAACGGCGGCCGUAACUAUAACGGUCCUAAGGUAGCGAAAUUCCUUGUCGGGUAAGUUCCGACCUGCACGAAUGGCGUAACGACUUCCCCGCUGUCUCCAACAUAGACUCAGCGAAAUUGAAUUCUGAGUUAAGAUGCUCAGUACCCGCGGUUAGACGGAAAGACCCCGUGAACCUUUACUAUAGCUUUGCAGUGGUAUUAGGUGACAAAUGUGUAGGAUAGGUGGGAUGCUAUGAAGUUAUGACGCUAGUUGUAAUGGAGCAGACGUUGAAAUACCACCCUUUUGUUAUUUGAUAUCUAACCUGCUUCCGUUAUCCGGAAGAGGGACCCUGCAUGGUGGGUAGUUUGACUGGGGCGGUCGCCUCCCAAAGAGUAACGGAGGC